AUUCACUAAUGAACAACUAGAUCCAAAAUUAAAUAAAAAAAGUCCAUUGAGAUUUUUAGAUGAAUGUAGGAUUUCUGGUAGAAAACAAAGCGUACAAAUUUUAAAUAAUAUAUUUGUCAGUUUUUUCUAUACUUCUAAAUUUUUAUAGAAAACCCAUGAAAAAUAAAAAAAUUGCCUCUUCAAUUUACUAACUAGAUCCAAAAUGAAACAAGUAAAGUGUUUUUAUAUCAUUUGAUUAAAGAAAAAUGUUUGGUAUAAAAGUAGUGUACAAAAAAAAAAAAAGAGAACUUAUACUCGGAACGGGUGCGGCUACUGUUGUAGGUGGGUAGUAGAGAAAGCGAAAUACAUAAAGUUAUUUAAUUUAUACCAUUAACCAACAAUAAACCAUUGAUAACGAAAAUUGUUUCAGAGCGAAGUUCGGUUAUUAUACAUGUUUUGAAAGGCUGCAAAAUAU